rnacentral:rRNA from 1 species
UACAGAGGGUGCGAGCGUUGUCCGGAAUCACUGGGCGUAAAGGGCGCGUAGGCGGCCUGAUAAGUCGGGGGUGAAAUUCUGCGGCUUAACCGCAGGACGGCCUUCGAGACUGUCGGGCUGGAGCACGGUAGAGGCAGAUGGAAUUCUCGGUGUAGCGGUUGAAUGCGUAGAGAUCGGGAAGAACAUCGGUGGCGAAGGCGGUCUGCUGGGCCGUUGCUGACGCUGAGGCGCGACAGCGUGGGGAGCAAACAGG